CGUAGGUGAACCUGCGGAAGGAUCAUUCAUAAUAAAGUGUUUUAUGGCACUUUUUAAAAAUCCAUAUCCACCUUGUGUGCAAUGUUAGAUCUCGUCAAUCUUGGCGAGAUUUUUAUACAUCAACUCAUUCUUUAACUAAUUUGUCUGAAAAAUAUUAUGAAUACUUAAUUCAAAAUACAACUUUCAACAACGGAUCUCUUGGCUCUC
rnacentral:misc_RNA from 1 species